rnacentral:misc_RNA from 1 species
AAAUCACCUUCAGGAUGAAUUUUAUCACCUUCAGAUGACAAUGAACGAUUUCGAAUCAAGUUAUCCAGCACAUCAUUUGAGUUCAAUUGCGCAUACACAAUACGGCCCUUACUAUUAUCCCUUGAUCCAGCCAUUCUCUUCAUAGAAUCCAAAUUCAUUAUUUCCUCAAGAAGGCUUUCUGCAGAAUUAUUACCUCGGCAUUUGGAGCUGCCUGUGUUUUGUUUUUUACCUGUACUCUUGUCUAGUUCAAAACAAGGUGAAUCACUAUCAAUAGAAUCUUCUUCAU